CCUAGAUUAAGACAAUUUCCUGGAGAAGAGAUGACACAAGAUGAUCCUGGAAGCAAAAUCUGAAGCCAGCAAGGAGUAGUGCAAUGAAAAGCAGUCGACCAAUGGUAGCUUCAGUCCUUGUGCUAGAGAAAAACCCUGAGACAAGACAGGCUUAACUUGGUUGAACCCAGCUCCUCUUGGACUGUGUGUCUGGUUCUCUGCCCCCCAUGCUGGACAUGAAGUGGUGUCAUGCUGUGAAAAAAAUUAUUUACCAGUGCCACUACAGGGAACUAGGAGGAACAUGAAGAUUUGAUUGUUUUGGUCAGAGUUAGCUGCUCCUGAAAUGUAUCUUUACAGCUGACUGUUACUGAGGAGGUGCCUGGGAAAUAAAAUGGGAAGAAAAGCACCCCACCUUACAGUGGCAUUUUGGUCAUCUGAGAAAGGUGGAGUCAGCUUGGGCCAGCAGAAAAAGCCAAGAAUAUUUAAGAGCAUGGGAAAAAAGAUUUCCAAGUUAUGAACUGAAAGUGAGUGACCAUGAAGUUGAGCAGAAUAACUGGAAGUCAAGAACACCUUUGCAUUGUGCUGUGAAUGCCAAAUGUGACAACUUCAACACAAGUGAACAUGGAAUCACCUGUCACUCAUUUCUUCCAAGGAAAUCCAAGAGACAACACAUGCCAAAUUCUCCUUCUGUGUAA
rnacentral:lncRNA from 1 species